GACGAACGCUGGCGGCGUGCUUAACACAUGCAAGUCGAACGAAGAGCGAUGGAAGCUUGCUUCUAUCAAUCUUAGUGGCGAACGGGUGAGUAACGCGUAAUCAACCUGCCCUUCAGAGGGGGACAACAGUUGGAAACGACUGCUAAUACCGCAUACGAUCUAAUCUCGGCAUCGAGGAUGGAUGAAAGGUGGCCUCUAUGUAUAAGCUAUCACUGAAGGAGGGGAUUGCGUCUGAUUAGCUAGUUGGAGGGGUAACGGCCCACCAAGGCGAUGAUCAGUAGCCGGUCUGAGAGGAUGAACGGCCACAUUGGGACUGAGACACGGCCCAGACUCCUACGGGAGGCAGCAGUGGGGAAUCUUCCGCAAUGGACGAAAGUCUGACGGAGCAACGCCGCGUGAGCGAUGACGGCCUUCGGGUUGUAAAGCUCUGUUAAUCGGGACGAAAGGCCUUCUUGCGAAUAGUGAGAAGGAUUGACGGUACCGGAAUAGAAAGCCACGGCUAACUACGUGCCA
rnacentral:rRNA from 1 species